AUUGAACGCUGGCGGCAUGCCUUACACAUGCAAGUCGAACGGCAGCACGGGAGCAAUCCUGGUGGCGAGUGGCGAACGGGUGAGUAAUAUAUCGGAACGUGCCCAGUCGUGGGGAUAACGUAGCGAAAGCUACGCUAAUACCGCAUACGAUCUAUGGAUGAAAGCGGGGGAUCGCAAGACCUCGCGCGAUUGGAGCGGCCGAUAUCAGAUUAGGUAGUUGGUGAGGUAAAGGCUCACCAAGCCGACGAUCUGUAGCUGGUCUGAGAGGACGACCAGCCACACUGGGACUGAGACACGGCCCAGACUCCUACGGGAGGCAGCAGUGGGGAAUUUUGGACAAUGGGCGCAAGCCUGAUCCAGCAAUGUCGCGUGCAGGAUGAAGGCCUU
rnacentral:rRNA from 1 species